rnacentral:lncRNA from 1 species
CUUCGACUGUGACCACAACACAAGGAAUCCAUGGAACUAAAAGUACAUAUUUGAGCUUAACUUUCUGAGCAUUGAGGCUACCAACUCCUUAAAGGGGCAACCAUUGGAUGUACAGUUGUGGCUUGAGAGUCUUAAAGCCAGAGGGGACUUCAUCGUCAUCGGCAAGGAGAUUACGCAGGAGUGCAUGUCCGAGUCUUCAGCCUUUGGGAAUAAAUUUCCCUGGGGCCCCUCCAGGGAAUGUACUGAAUCAGAUUCUGACAGCAGGGCCUGGGAAUCCUAAUCCAUCUCCAGUUCCAAGAGGAAGGAAGAACCUGCUAGAACAGAGGAAGCUGCCUGGAAGAUGAGAUCCCAUGGAGCCGGCCUGCUGGGAAGCAGAACAGUGAGCCCAAUAGGAUGGAGAUGACGCUGGAGGUUUCCCAUGGGCAGGAGUGCCAUAGAGCCCAGCACAAGCCUCUUUAUCAAAUAAGUGGACCCUUCCCAUAGCUUGGUGAUAGUUUGUCAUUCAUUGCUCUCUCUGUCCCCUUCUCUGGAGAAUUUCCUUCCACUUGUAAGAGCUGCCUCACCCAGGAAGUUAUGCUCAAAGGGGAAAGCCCACCUCCGAUGCUGAUGGAUGCAGAAGUACCAAUGCCUGAUCUCCUCAGGGGAUGACUCAGCAGGGCAAUUUAUGCUGCAGAGGCUCCCAAGGCCCCGGGCAAGGCUAGAACUUGUCUGGGACUGCAUCCAUGUUCAGCCCCUUCCCCUUUCCUGCUUUACUCCUCCUUUUAGAGAUCCUUCCAGAAAUAGACUCCCUCAAAUGAUAUGUGCUUGAAUACCACUCUCCGGGUCUGUUUAAAGGGAACCCAAUGUAAGUCACCAUCUGUGUCAGUUAGGUUGUGGUGUAUCAAAUCGCCCUGAAACUUAGCAGAUGAAAAAGGAUAGACAUUUAUUAUCUCACUUUUUUGGGGGGGGAGUCAGGACUUUGGACGCAGCUUAGAAUCUCAUAACAUUGCAUUCAAGACCUCGGCCAGGGCUGCAGUCCUCUAAGGGUGUGACUGAGGUUAGUUGAUCUGCUUCCAAAUUGGUUCACUCUUGUCUGGUAAGUUGGUGCUGGCUGUUGGCUAGAGACUGUGAUUCCCUGCCCUAGGGGCACCUUUCCCUUGGGUGGUUUGAGUCUCUUCAUGGAGUGGUAGUUGCAUCCCCCCAGAAGGAGUGACCUAACAGAGGACAGGAGAGAGGCUAUGACACUUUGUAUGACCUCACCUUGGAAGGUGUAUACUGUCACUUCUGCAAUGUCCUAUUGAUCACACAGAUCAGCCCUAUUCAUGGUUGGAGGGAACUACAGCAAGGCAUGAAUCUAGGAGCUGGGGAUGCUUCGGGGUAUCUUGGUGUCUUCCAUACUAUCCAAGGAAGACUCAGUUUGAAUUGUAAGAGUUCCUAUGAUUUUGAACUGUUUGCCCCUUAUUUUGGCUUUCUAUUAAUAUUUUUUCAAUAGUAAGUUUGGUGUUCUUUUCUUCUCUUUCCAAAUUAGACAUCUCAACUCCUAGCCUACGUUAAUCUGAAACUGUUGGUCUUUACCAGAAAAUAGCUUUCUCCCUCACUACUAAAAGAAGUAAUGGCAUGGACAAGGCACUGUCUUUUGAUGGUUCUGCAAAUUUAUCAUCACUGUAAAUGUCAUCUUAUCAUGGCUUGUGUGCUGGCUGAGAAUGAUGGUGCUAUCCAUAUUAAACAUGAAACCUUAUUCUCUCCUCAGGCUGUUAGGUCCAGGAACAUUCAGUGUAGGCAAUAUUAAGUGACUAAGGGAUAAGUCGUGCAGGAUUGAGAAGUGGGGAACUUGGGCCAGGAGUUGUAUUUCUGUCUUAGAUAUGUGUCCAAUGUACAGAUACAGAAUGCUGCUAAUUUAUUGCAAAAUAGAUAUAGUUCAUUUUCACAUUGCUUUAUCAUUUUCUUCAGGAAUCUAGGGAAAAGUUUGUAAGAAAAUCACAUUAAAAAUCUGGUGUGGAGGUGGAGAUAGGGUCUCUAGCAUUGCUGUUUGGCAUGAAUUAGGAAUUUUCAGCAUAUACGGUACAUGUGGGUUUGGUUUAUAUUGUGGGAGGCAAUCUUUGAUUUUCUCCUCCCACUUGGCUCUCACAGCCCUUGUCUCUUGUUUGAUGGGAAGAGUCACUGAGAAGAAGUAGAGUGUAGCGUUUUGGUGUUAGGUACGCCUAUGUUUAAUCUCUUCUCCAUUUUACCUACUUGCUGUGGGAUCUUGAGCACAUAAACUAACCUCUCAAAGCCUCUGUUUUCUCAUCUUUGAAAAGCUAAUACCUACCUCCCAGAGUGGUUUGAGGAUUAAAUGAGACUAUACUUGUGUCUGCACUGCCCAGCACAGUGCCCAGUCACGGGAGUCACUUGAUUAAGUGGAAGCUGCCACAUGGAUUAGUCAUCCUCUAUCUUAGCUCCGUCCAUCACUUCCUGUGGACCUGAUAAAGAUUGCUGCAUAUCAGGGUUGAGCAGGGCAUUUCCAGUCCCCAGGACAUUUUAACUUUCAACUUGGGCCCUCUGUGUUUCAGGGCCACUGGUGUCCUGGCACCAGCUCCUACUAGCUUUCAGGAAUUCAUUGUACUCUUUUCUCAGCUCUGAGCUCAAAGAUGCCAUGUUACUAACUUGAAAUCAGUCAUGCUGAGAAUAUUUACACCAUGGCAAGCAGCCAUAGGCAAAGUAUUUACACCAUGACCCUACCGAGCAGGUCUCCCAUUUAGAGCCAGUUAUGAAAAAUUUACCAGCACGUCUCUUCCCAGGAUGUUUCUUCAGGAAAGCAAACUGAAUUACUCGACUGUUUUGCUAUUUUUUUUUUUUUUCCUUCCAAAUUCCUCUUUAACCAUUGCUUUUCUUUUAUUUUCCAUUAUGAACCACUUCAAAAGCUCAUUAUUUCCCCCACCCCCAGCUUGCCAUUCUCUUCCUGUCUAUUUCUUUCCUUCAUCAUGGUACCAGAGAAAUAUCCCAAAAGCAUUAAUUUCAAUCAUACCUACUGAUUCCUGCUCAGAAUUUUUCCAUAGCAUUGUACUUGUGUUGAUGGCAUGUCUUUGAUUUCUCACUAGAAGUGGGAUUUUAAAUACCCUUGCUCUCCUCUCCCUGCUUGAGAGACCCAAUGUGUUUAUUAUAUGGGAAUUUACAUGGAAGAAACAUGGUUUUUCUUUUGUUUGUUUGUUUGUUUUUUGGAGACAGAAUCUCGCUCUGUCACCCAGGCUGGAGUACAGUGGUGCAAUCUCGGUUCACUGCAGCCUCCACCUCCUGGGUUCAAGCAAUUCUCCUGCCUCAGCCUCCCAAGUAGCUGGGAUUUCAGGCGUGUGCUACCAUGCCCGACUAAUUUUUUUUUCUAUUUUUAGUAGAAAUGGGGUUUCCCCACUUCGGCCAGGCUGGUCUCAAACUCCUGACCUCAGGUAAUCUGCCCACCUCAGUCACCAAACUGCUAGGAUUACAGGCAUGAACCACCACACCUGGCCAGAAACAUCAUGGGUUUUAACCACGGAAGAAAUGAGUUGGAAUCAUAGCUCUGCCUCUAUAUAGCUAGCUGUUGGAUCUUGAGUUGUUUACUUUCCAUUGAGUUGCUGUGGGAUGUUAAUACAUGCACAGUUCUAGAAAUAGUGACUGGCAAACAGUAAGUGCUCAAUAAAUGCCAGGUCUUGCUAUUGCUGUCCUUCCUUACUAAUGCACAGCUUCCUCUUCAGCCUGUCCAAGUUCUUCUUUGUUCCGUUAAAGUGUCAUGCUCAAUAGGAUCUGAUGCUGUUUCCCAAAUUCGGGGUGUCUUCCUCUCCCCUCCCCUCUGCAAAUUCAACCCACCACUUAUGAUCAGAGUCUAGCCUUACCUCACCGCAAAAGUCCUGCUUAACUUUCUCAGGCCUUCUUUCCAUCUUCCUAUCUGAGAAAGAAAUAGAAACUCCAAGGUAGUCAAAUGAAUGUGGCAUGUUCCUUGUGGACCAACCCUGUAUGGCUAGAGGGAUAUCAUAGCUCCUGUCUUCCUGAAAAAUAAAAAUUUGUAUUGAAAGAAGCUGAGUUCAUCAUAACACAGCACAUAAAGUGCUGGGUUGGGGAAGAGCAAGGGCUAAAGGGGCACAGAGGAGGGGCGUCUAGCCCACAGUUGUGUUUCAGAGAAAGGAAUGACAUAUACAUUGAGAGAACCAAGAAGUAUGGAUGUCAUCCAAAUGGAAAUAGGAAGAGGUGUGGUAGGAAUAGGAUUGUUCCAGAAAGAAAGAGUGCAAGUAGGAAGGCCAAUGCUUAGAGCUAUCAUCAUGAUAUAGAGAAACUAAAGAGUUCUCCAGGAGCUGGAAUGGAGUCUUGAGGCUGAGAAGAUGGAAGAGUGUGUGGGGAGUCUGGGUUAUCCCAGGCUUUAGCUGCUACAUUAAGAAGUUGAGUUGUUUUGUUUUGUUUGCUUUUAAGAUGGUGUCUUGCUCUGUUACCCAGGCUAGUCUUGAACUCCUGGACUCAAGCUAUCCUCCUGCCUCCUCCCAUGUAGCUGGAAUUGCAGACACUUGCCACUGAACCUGGCUAAAAGUUGAAGUGUUAUCCUAAGAACCAUAGGUGUUAAAGAGAAGCAUGAUUUGAUUAGAUUUCCAUACUUACAGAUUACUCUUUUGCUAAGUUUGCUUCUAUGUUACCCACAGUUACCUCCCUGAAUAAAAUGUCACUUUUCUGAGCCUCAAUCUCUUCCUCUCUAAAACAGGGUAAUAAGUUCAUAAUUUUGCUGAGAAUGCUAUAUGAGAUAAUACAUGGAAAAGCAUAUUAUAAACCCUUAAAACUGUCUACACAUUAGAGGGAUCAUUAUUAAUUUUGGAUGCAGGGUGUGGACUCAUGUAUCCUGGUAUCCUGGAAAAGUUGAGUUCACAUCCUAGUAUUCCCACUCCUUGGGAAAGUUGCUUAAUUUUUAAUUGCUGACAUCAUCAUUUCCACUUCACAGAUGAGGAUUACAUCUAAUGCAUAAGCCUCUGAUGAAGAGAUGUUUAUAGUGUGUGAUUUGGGGGCACUAGUGUUUAAUGAAUGUUAAGUUCUACAUACACACACAUAUGUGCAUGCACACAUACAUAUCACCCAUCUGCUCUAAUCUUUCUGUACAUAAAGGCAAAACACAUAUCUCCAUCUUAAAAAGUAAAAACAAAGAAUGACUUGCAUAGAGCACAUUAGAGUAAAUUUUGUGAUCAUAUUGAAAUAGAUGGUGGAAUAGUGAUUGUCUCUCCCACUGUGUUUAACAUUGAACCCAAGUAAGUCAAAGCUCCUGUCCUUGAUUUCCCUCACCUCCAACAGAGACACACACACACACACACACACACAUGCACACACACUCGAUAUAAAUCCCGACGUGCUGGUCUUUGGAGUGAUGGCUCGCAAACAUAAAGUUUUACUCUCCUUAAUGUACACACCUCUUCUGAAAGCAAACGGGUUCAGCAUACCCUGUAUCCC